rnacentral:rRNA from 1 species
CACGUAGGUGGCAAGCGUUGUCCGGAUUUAUUGGGUUUAAAGGGUGCGUAGGUGGUCUAUUAAGUCAGUGCUGAAAUAUCCCGGCUUAACCGGGAGGGUGGCAUUGAUACUGAUGGACUUGAGUGGAGUUGAGGUAGGCGGAAUUGACGGUGUAGCGGUGAAAUGCUUAGAUAUCGUCAAGAACACCGAUAGCGAAGGCAGCUUACCAAGCUCUAACUGACACUGAUGCACGAAAGUGUGGGGAUCAAACAGG